AGCCACGCAGUGAGCACAAAGCGAACUAUUCUUUCGCCUUUUACUAAAGAAUAUCGUGUGCGCGCGGCAAUCAGUGGCAUACGCCAAUUUUUGGAGGGAUUCUCUUCUUUAGAGGAC
rnacentral:snRNA from 2 species